AUUGAACGCUGGCGGCAGGCUUAACACAUGCAAGUCGAACGAGUGGCGGACGGGUGAGUUAUGUCUGUGAAACUGCCUGAUGGAGGGGGAUAACUACUGGAAACGGUAGCUAAUACCGCAUACCAUCAGAUGUGCCCAGAUGGGAUUGGCUUGUUGGUGGGGUAACGGCUCACCGAGGCGACGAUCCCUAGCUGGUCUGAGAGGAUGACGAGCCACACUGGAACUGAGACACGGGCCAGAAUCAUACGGGAGGCAGGAGUGGGGAAUAUUGCACAAUGGGCGCAAGCCUGAUGCAGCCAUGCGGCGUGUAUGAAGAAGGCCUUCGGGUUGUAAAGUACUUUCAGCGGGGAGGCGUUACCCGCAGGAGAAGCACCGGCUAACUCCGUGCCAGCAGCCGCGGUAAUAC
rnacentral:rRNA from 1 species